rnacentral:sRNA from 1 species
CAGGCUUGCAACUUGUGUCCUGAGCUCUCUGAGUUAUUUGAGUAAUUUUAUUUCUCAUUUGAUUCAGCGGUUAAUCUGGGUAUUUGACAAGUUCAUCUGUUUCCAACAGGAACUAUACUAGGUCCAGUAUAGUGUACUAGUUUCCAGACAAGGUCUGAUUUCUGGAUUGGGAUCCAGAGGUCAAACUGGGUAUUUGACAGAUUGAACUAGGUGUUCAACAGAAACUGAACUGGGAGUCCAGUUGGAGUCCUCAGCCACCUGGACGUCAAAUGAUUGCCAUCAGAAAGAGACAACUUGAAGAAACCAACAAUGACUAUGAAACAGCUGAUGGCGGCUACAUGACUCUCAACCCCAGGGCACCUACUGACGAUGAUAAAAACAUCUACCUGACUCUUCCUCCCAAUGACCAUGUCAACAGUAAUAAUUAAAGAGUAAUGUUAUGCCAUGUGGUCACACUCUCAGCUUGCUGAGUGGAUGACAAAAAGAGGGGAAUUGUUAAAGGAAAAUUUAAAUGGAGACUGGAAAAAUUCCUGAGCAAACAAAACCACCUGGCUCUUAGAAAUAGCUUUAACUUUGCUUAAACUACAAACACAAGCAAAACUUCACUGGGGUCAUACUACAUACAAGCACAAGCAAAACUUAACUUGGAUCGUUUCUGGUAAAUUCUUAUGUUAGAAAUAAGACAACCCCAGCCAAUCAUAGGCAGCCUACUAACAUAUAAUUAUGUGACUAGGGACUUUCUAACAAGAUACCUACCCCCAAAAAACAAUUAUGUAAUUGAAAACCAAUCAAUUGUCUUUAUUUUGCUUCCACAUUUUCCCAAUAAAUACUUGCCUAUGACAUUUUGCCACUGGAACACUAAACUUCAUGAAUUGUG